rnacentral:rRNA from 1 species
UCGAACGGUAACAGGAAACAGCUUGCUGUUUCGCUGACGAGUGGCGGACGGGUGAGUAAUGUCUGGGAAACUGCCUGAUGGAGGGGGAUAACUACUGGAAACGGUAGCUAAUACCGCAUAACGUCGCAAGACCAAAGAGGGGGACCUUCGGGCCUCUUGCCAUCGGAUGUGCCCAGAUGGGAUUAGCUUGUUGGUGGGGUAACGGCUCACCAAGGCGACGAUCCCUAGCUGGUCUGAGAGGAUGACCAGCCACACUGGAACUGAGACACGGUCCAGACUCCUACGGGAGGCAGCAGUGGGGAAUAUUGCACAAUGGGCGCAAGCCUGAUGCAGCCAUGCCGCGUGUAUGAAGAAGGCCUUCGGGUUGUAAAGUACUUUCAGCGGGGAGGAAGGGAGUAAAGUUAAUACCUUUGCUCAUUGACGUUACCCGCAGAAGAAGCACCGGCUAACUCCGUGCCAGCAGCCGCGGUAAUACGGAGGGUGCAAGCGUUAAUCGGAAUUACUGGGCGUAAAGCGCACGCAGGCGGUUUGUUAAGUCAGAUGUGAAAUCCCCGGGCUCAACCUGGGAACUGCAUCUGAUACUGGCAAGCUUGAGUCUCGUAGAGGGGGGUAGAAUUCCAGGUGUAGCGGUGAAAUGCGUAGAGAUCUGGAGGAAUACCGGUGGCGAAGGCGGCCCCCUGGACGAAGACUGACGCUCAGGUGCGAAAGCGUGGGGAGCAAACAGGAUUAGAUACCCUGGUAGUCCACGCCGUAAACGAUGUCGACUUGGAGGUUGUGCCCUUGAGGCGUGGCUUCCGGAGCUAACGCGUUAAGUCGACCGCCUGGGGAGUACGGCCGCAAGGUUAAAACUCAAAUGAAUUGACGGGGGCCCGCACAAGCGGUGGAGCAUGUGGUUUAAUUCGAUGCAACGCGAAGAACCUUACCUGGUCUUGACAUCCACGGAAGUUUUCAGAGAUGAGAAUGUGCCUUCGGGAACCGUGAGACAGGUGCUGCAUGGCUGUCGUCAGCUCGUGUUGUGAAAUGUUGGGUUAAGUCCCGCAACGAGCGCAACCCUUAUCCUUUGUUGCCAGCGGUCCGGCCGGGAACUCAAAGGAGACUGCCAGUGAUAAACUGGAGGAAGGUGGGGAUGACGUCAAGUCAUCAUGGCCCUUACGACCAGGGCUACACACGUGCUACAAUGGCGCAUACAAAGAGAAGCGACCUCGCGAGAGCAAGCGGACCUCAUAAAGUGCGUCGUAGUCCGGAUUGGAGUCUGCAACUCGACUCCAUGAAGUCGGAAUCGCUAGUAAUCGUGGAUCAGAAUGCCACGGUGAAUACGUUCCCGGGCCUUGUACACACCGCCCGUCACACCAUGGGAGUGGGUUGCAAAAGAAGUAGGUAGCUUAACCUUCGGGAGGGCGCUUACCACUUUGUGAUUCAUGACUGGGGUGAAGUCGUAACAAGGUAACCGUAGGGGAACCUGCGGUUGGAUCAC